AUGAGCAAGGCUCUGAGCCCAUGUUACCAGGGACUGUCGACAUACGAGAAAGAAUACCUGGCAAUUAUAGUUGCCGUGGAACAGUGGCGUCCAUAUCUGCAACACUCGGAGUUUGUCAUCUUCACAGACCAAAAGAGCCUCACGCAUCUAGAGGAACAUCGUCUCAACACACCGUGGCAGCACAAGGCUUUCACCAAGCUGCUGGGACUCAGGUAUUGUAUCCAGUACAAGAAGGGAACAAAGAACAACAGCGCCGAUGCUCUCUCACGUUGGAACAACUAG
rnacentral:rRNA from 1 species